AUACGCUACGGCAGUAAAUAUUCUAAAAUUGGAACGAUACAAAGCAGAUUAGCUUGGCCAUUGCUUCCUGGAUCAUGCACAAAUUCGUGAAGCGUUCCAUAUUGUC
rfam:Octopus bimaculoides Scaffold67043_contig_59, whole genome shotgun sequence.